ACCCAUCUCUGUGGCCCGGGCCGGCUGCGCGCGCAGAUAUCGAGCGGAGCGUGCCGGAGGACUUCCCAGCGUUUAGGUCUCAGAGUCCUGCUACCUACCCCGACGUAAUACACCACCCUGACGUCACCUUUCCCUGUGUGACGUGACGCAGAGCAUGAUCCUUGGGCCUCUUUGUCCCUCCUGACCAAGGUGUACGGGCAGGAUGGCCUCGCCCCUUAGGAGCAAGUCCUCCGCCCCGCGAGUGGAAAACACCCGCCACAAGGAGACAUCGACUGUCCGCGUGGAAACGUCGUCCCACCGCGAGGAAACGUCAUCCCACCGCGUGGAGACGUCCUCCCGGCAGGUUCGAACGUCUUCCCGGCAGGUGGAGACCUCCCAGCGCCACCGAGAGGGGCCCUCCCUCACCCCCUCCACGAAGCGACUCCCUCAGUUCCUCGAGGUGUCCUCCCAGCACGUGGAAACCUCCUCGCAGUGCACGGAAACGUCCUCCCGCCACGUCAGGGCGUCGUCAUCCCUGAGGGUGGAGACUACUGUGCACCGUGUGGAGAGCCCAGCCAGGCGAGACAAGCAAGCCGCUCGGCAGAGUGCCAGAAUGGCUCGAUGAAGUGCCAAAGGUCCUUAGCCAGGACUGAACAGUUGCCAGCCAGCCAGCUUCCAAGAGAGCCGAGCAUCUUUGGUUUCAUGGAAAGAACCCAUAGAUCAGUGUAAGAAACAGGCUGUGGUUUCUGGGAGCUGUUAACAUUGCAGCACCUUAGACCAUACUACUGUUGACCCCAGUGUGCUAUUAACUUGAAGCCAGCACAGAAGGUUUCAGAUUUGUAGUGCUGUAUAAACCCGGCUGAUGGACAAUGAGAUUCUUUUGAGUCUCUACACCAGGUAAGUUUUAUAGUCUUAGGUCACUCUAGGAUGUGUUGAUGACUUGAAAUUUGCAAAGAGGGUCCAAACUUGUCAUGAUUCUUGACCACUGGCCUGAUCAUAUACCUACUUGAAACCUACAGGGCAAGGUAUCAUCUUUCAUACAUUAUCAAUUGGCCUUUAUUAAUACUUAUAUUUCAUAAUACAUUUUCUCAUAAUCUUGGAAGGGACAGUAAAGAAGAAGCCAUGAGACUUGGCCUGAGGCGUGAGAUUGACAGAGGAUGGUUACUGAGUACUUACUGCAUGCUAGGUAGUAGUCAGAACAUGUCAGCCAGAGCAGUGGACAAGACUAGGAUCUCCCUCUAAUGAAGGGAAAAUACAGCAAAGGGGAAAGCAAGACAACAUGCUGUUGUAUUCCCGUGAGGGAAAAGCUAUCUGUCUGUCUGUGGUAGAGAGUAGGGAACUCUUCAGAGACUAUGGUCAGGGAAAGCCUUGCUGAUUACAUUUGGUCCGAGAUUUGUGUGGGUGGACAGUGAGCCAUAUCAGGAUCUAGAGGGAAGUGCAUUCUAGACAGGGAAAGUCUACAUUUUAAAAAUAAAACCGAAGAUGUUUAUGUUAGAGAAAGAUCAGUUAGUAUAUGAGAGCGUGGUAUAAGGAAGGAAAAAAAAAAAAGAGGAAGAUGCCACUUCAUAUAGAGUCUUGGAAAUCUUCUGGGAUUACAGUAAAGAGCUUGAAUUUUAUUCUGAGAUCAUCAAAAGAAUUUAGUGCAAGGGAGCAUGUUCUGUCCGGCCAGCAAAGUGCGUGUUGCAGUUUACAGUUUAGAACUACCUCUCCAUCAAAGUUCCAUUGGUAACCAAGUUGGGAAUGAUUUUGUCUCCAGAAGUGUGUGUGUUUGGGGCAGCGUGGAAGGUGCUACUGCUUGCCUCAAGUGCCUAGUAGCCAGGGAUUCUGCUAACAUCUUAUGGUGCCCAGGUCAACACCCUGUCCCUCCUCCAACAAAGAAUCGCUGUGCUGAGAAAGGCAGUCAUUGGUGAAGUUAAGAAACAUUGAGGUUUCUAGCAACUAUGCUAGAGGGUGGUCCACUAAGCAAACCCCUCACUUCUGCAUAGCAGAAUUGCGGAAAGCCUGAAAAACAGUCAUGGAAGUGUGUUCAGAGCAUCUUCCGGUGAGGAACAAAGCAAGCGUUCUCAGGGGAAGAGGAUGUGUUGCCCUGUAAGGAACCCUCUAUCCCGCUUCAGUAAUGCAUGUGCUACUUGCCACUAGAACAGAGGCUGCAGAUGAUGCUGAUUCUGCAGGGCUCCUCAUGAGUUAGAGCACUUAACACUUCCAGGCACUAAUUUAGUCCCAGGGAGUGUGCUGGGCUGUCCCCACAGAAUGGGGGCGCAGGUCAGAAGAAAUGUCAUAACUGCUAUAGAUGUUAUAACUACCACCACUACCCCAAGGCUACCCGAAUGCCUCUCUGCCUCACAAAACUGCUAGUAACAGAGAAUUAGCUAGUAGCAAAGAAUUGUCAGUUUUUUUCCAGUUUACUAAUUCUUUUUAAUAUGGCCAACUGUGCCUUAAAUAAACAGAUAAAAAACGAACAAAGCAGUUGCUUCUCUUCAACAGUGUUCCUCAUUAUCUUCUUGUUACAAAAGUGGUAUGUGUCUAAUGUAACAAAAUAAAUCAACAUAACAGUUAAUACGAUAUUAUAUUUCCUGUCCAUUACUAGCCUGGAAAUAAUGUCAGAGAUGUAUUUGUCUGUCCAGACCUUUCUCUAUUAGUGACUGCUUCUGUUUCCUCUUUUAGUAGUAUUUGGAAGACUGGCUGAAUGUGACUCUGGGAAAGUCAGGCACCUGCUUCUGGAUCGUUGAUGCUUCAGGAAGGGCGUGGGAAGGAUCCCGGUAGAUUCCCUGUGGUCCUCGUCUUAUUUUUAUCUAGGAUUCUUCCUCCAUAUUUCACUUAUUCAUGUUCCAAAGCUGGAAUGCAGAGAGAGAGAGAGAGAGAGAGAGAAUUUAAUGAAACACCUUUGCCAUAAAUCUAUAUUAUACAUUCCACAGCUUCAAAAUGACAGUGUGCGUCAAUGAAGGUAAUUGUUGCUGUACCUGUUGCACUUUGUAAAUGUGUGUGUUACUGUUAGCCAUGCUGUGUGUCUUCCUCAUCGUUCUCUGUAGAAAAUAGAGCUGCUGUACCUGGCAUGUGUUACACAGUGUUAAAGACAGCAUGUGCAACAAUAAUAAAUGAAGAGCAAUAUUCUCCAUAUGCAGUCGAGAGAGCCUUUAAUGGCACAGUCUAAUAAUUGGAUUUAUUUAUGCUGGGUAAUAGUUGUGUCUUGCCUUGAGAUGUGCCAGCCAGGUUAGUUUAAAAAAGUAAAUAAAUACAAGUUCUUGCAAAGAA
ensembl:processed_transcript